UUUUUUUGAUUGGGUAACUAAAAUUAUAGAUCAGGGUGGUGCAGUAGACAUUGCUUACCUAGAUUUCAGUAAGGCUUUUGACACUGUUGCACAUAGAAGGCUUAUCAAUAAACUGCAAUCUUUAAGUUUGGAUUCCAAUAUUGUUGAAUAGGUAAGGCAGUGGCUGAGUGACAGGCAACAGAGGGUUGUAGUCAAUGGAAUAUAUUCGAAGCUUGGACUUGUCAC
rnacentral:lncRNA from 1 species